rnacentral:rRNA from 1 species
GCAGCCGCGGUAAUACGUAGGGUGCGAGCGUUGUCCGGAAUUACUGGGCGUAAAGAGCUUGUAGGCGGUUCGUCGCGUCGAUCGUGAAAACUUGCAGCUCAACUGCGAGCUUGCGGUCGAUACGGGCGGACUAGAGUACUGCAGGGGAGACUGGAAUUCCUGGUGUAGCGGUGAAAUGCGCAGAUAUCAGGAGGAACACCGGUGGCGAAGGCGGGUCUCUGGGCAGUAACUGACGCUGAGAAGCGAAAGCGUGGGUAGCGAACAGGAUUAGAUACCCUGGUAGUCCACGCCGUAAACGGUGGGCGCUAGGUGUGGGUUUCCUUCCACGGGAUCCGUGCCGUAGCUAACGCAUUAAGCGCCCCGCCUGGGGAGUACGGCCGCAAGGCUAAAACUCAAAGGAAUUGACGGGGGCCCGCACAAGCGGCGGAGCAUGUGGAUUAAUUCGAUGCAACGCGAAGAACCUUACCUGGGUUUGACAUACACCAGAAAGCCGUAGAGAUACGGCCCCCCUUGUGGUUGGUGUACCAGGUGGUGCAUGG